GCAGGUCAGGCGGGGUCACAUCCAGCAUCACAGCUCUGACGGUAGCAGGCGACACCUCACACAGACAGCCACACCAUUUCAUUGUAACUGACUGAAAUCAUUAACAAUGAAGAUCUUCCUUCCUCUUUGCCUCCUGUGUUUAUUCACAGUUACUUCGACACGAGGAUGCAAUCCAUUCAGAGCCUGCCAUGAGCAUAACAAUCCCGUGUGUGGGUCUGACGGUCGCACCUACGAUAACUGGUGUACCUUCAAAGCCGAACUGCAGUCGUCCAACCCUAAACUUGACCUGGUUUACUGCGGAGCUUGUCGCAAAGACUAAAAACGACAUCAGAUGGACUGACAACUUCCUGUCUAUGUAUUACAUUACCGAAACACACAGUCAUCUGAUUCUGGCCAUGUUCACUGUAUACACAAAGGUUUGAUAUACACGGUCAAGUCUUGUGUGGUCUAGUACUGAAUCUGCUCUGAACGUGUUUGUCAAGAAAAUAUGGAAUCUGUGAAAAGAGGAAGAUAAAAUAAACUACAACAUUGAAAUUACCUGCAAA